rfam:Tupaia chinensis contig206836, whole genome shotgun sequence.
UAUCCCAUUUGACUACCACAUUUUCUCCUUAUAAUAGAUCUUAGUGGCUAUGCUUACAGGAUAGAUUAAAAUUCCCAUUAUCGAAUUAUUACCUGUUGAUAACAUGUAUAG